rnacentral:rRNA from 1 species
AGCGCAUACGGUGGAUGCCUUGGCAGUCAGAGGCGAUGAAAGACGUGGUAGCCUGCGAAAAGCUUCGGGGAGUCGGCAAACAGACUGUGAUCCGGAGAUAUCUGAAUGGGGGAACCCAGCCAUCAUAAGAUGGUUAUCUUGUACUGAAUACAUAGGUGCAAGAGGCGAACCAGGGGAACUGAAACAUCUAAGUACCCUGAGGAAAAGAAAUCAACCGAGAUUCCCUUAGUAGUGGCGAGCGAACGGGGACCAGCCCUUAAGUUGUAUUGAGAUUAGCGGAACGUUCUGGAAAGGACGGCCAUAGUGGGUGAUAGCCCUGUACGCGAAAAUCCCUUUGCAAUGAAAUCGAGUAGGACGGGGCACGAGAAACCUUGUCUGAAUAUGGGGGGACCAUCCUCCAAGGCUAAAUACUACUGACUGACCGAUAGUGAACCAGUACCGUGAGGGAAAGGCGAAAAGAACCGCGGAGAGCGGAGUGAAAUAGAUCCUGAAACCGUAUGCGUACAAGCAGUGGGAGCCCACUUGUUGGGUGACUGCGUACCUUUUGUAUAAUGGGUCAGCGACUUAUUUUCAGUGGCGAGCUUAACCGAAUAGGGGAGGCGUAGCGAAAGCGAGUCUUAAUAGGGCGUCUAGUCGCUGGGAAUAGACCCGAAACCGGGCGAUCUAUCCAUGGGCAGGUUGAAGGUUGGGUAACACUAACUGGAGGACCGAACCGACUACCGUUGAAAAGUUAGCGGAUGACCUGUGGAUCGGAGUGAAAGGCUAAUCAAGCUCGGAGAUAGCUGGUUCUCCUCGAAAGCUAUUUAGGUAGCGCCUCAUGUAUCACUGUAGGGGGUAGAGCACUGUUUCGGCUAGGGGGUCAUCCCGACUUACCAAACCGAUGCAAACUCCGAAUACCUACAAGUGCCGAGCAUGGGAGACACACGGCGGGUGCUAACGUCCGUCGUGAAAAGGGAAACAACCCAGACCGUCAGCUAAGGUCCCAAAGUCAUGGUUAAGUGGGAAACGAUGUGGGAAGGCUUAGACAGCUAGGAGGUUGGCUUAGAAGCAGCCACCCUUUAAAGAAAGCGUAAUAGCUCACUAGUCGAGUCGGCCUGCGCGGAAGAUGUAACGGGGCUCAAACCAUGCACCGAAGCUACGGGUAUCAUCUUAGGAUGAUGCGGUAGAGGAGCGUUCUGUAAGCCUGUGAAGGUGAGUUGAGAAGCUUGCUGGAGGUAUCAGAAGUGCGAAUGCUGACAUGAGUAACGACAAUGGGUGUGAAAAACACCCACGCCGAAAGACCAAGGUUUCCUGCGCAACGUUAAUCGACGCAGGGUUAGUCGGUCCCUAAGGCGAGGCUGAAAAGCGUAGUCGAUGGAAAACAGGUUAAUAUUCCUGUACUUCUGGUUAUUGCGAUGGAGGGACGGAGAAGGCUAGGCCAGCCUGGCGUUGGUAGUCCAGGUUUAAGGUGGUAGGCUGAGAUCUUAGGUAAAUCCGGGAUCUUAAGGCCGAGAGCUGAUGACGAGUGUUCUUUUAGAACACGAAGUGGUUGAUGCCAUGCUUCCAAGAAAAGCUUCUAAGCUUCAGGUAACCAGGAACCGUACCCCAAACCGACACAGGUGGUUGGGUAGAGAAUACCAAGGCGCUUGAGAGAACUCGGGUGAAGGAACUAGGCAAAAUGGCACCGUAACUUCGGGAGAAGGUGCGCCGGUGGAGGUGAAGCAUUUACUGCGUAAGCCCCUGCCGGUCGAAGAUACCAGGCCGCUGCGACUGUUUAUUAAAAACACAGCACUCUGCAAACACGAAAGUGGACGUAUAGGGUGUGACGCCUGCCCGGUGCCGGAAGGUUAAUUGAUGGGGUUAGCGCAAGCGAAGCUCUUGAUCGAAGCCCCGGUAAACGGCGGCCGUAACUAUAACGGUCCUAAGGUAGCGAAAUUCCUUGUCGGGUAAGUUCCGACCUGCACGAAUGGCGUAACGAUGGCGGCGCUGUCUCCACCCGAGACUCAGUGAAAUUGAAAUCGCUGUGAAGAUGCAGUGUAUCCGCGGCUAGACGGAAAGACCCCGUGAACCUUUACUAUAGCUUUGCACUGGACUUUGAAUUUGCUUGUGUAGGAUAGGUGGGAGGCUUUGAAGCGUGGACGCCAGUCUGCGUGGAGCCAACCUUGAAAUACCACCCUGGCAACUUUGAGGUUCUAACUCAGGUCCGUUAUCCGGAUCGAGGACAGUGUAUGGUGGGUAGUUUGACUGGGGCGGUCUCCUCCUAAAGAGUAACGGAGGAGUACGAAGGUGCGCUCAGACCGGUCGGAAAUCGGUCGUAGAGUAUAAAGGCAAAAGCGCGCUUGACUGCGAGACAGACACGUCGAGCAGGUACGAAAGUAGGUCUUAGUGAUCCGGUGGUUCUGUAUGGAAGGGCCAUCGCUCAACGGAUAAAAGGUACUCCGGGGAUAACAGGCUGAUACCGCCCAAGAGUUCAUAUCGACGGCGGUGUUUGGCACCUCGAUGUCGGCUCAUCACAUCCUGGGGCUGAAGCCGGUCCCAAGGGUAUGGCUGUUCGCCAUUUAAAGUGGUACGCGAGCUGGGUUUAGAACGUCGUGAGACAGUUCGGUCCCUAUCUGCCGUGGACGUUUGAGAUUUGAGAGGGGCUGCUCCUAGUACGAGAGGACCGGAGUGGACGAACCUCUGGUGUUCCGGUUGUCACGCCAGUGGCAUUGCCGGGUAGCUAUGUUCGGAAAAGAUAACCGCUGAAAGCAUCUAAGCGGGAAACUUGCCUCAAGAUGAGAUCUCACUGGAACCUUGA